UGAAAUUUAUCGUUAUUUUUUUUGUAGUGCGAUAAAAUUUUUAUUUUAUUAUCCUACACUAUACUAUCGAUUUUAAAAUAUAAAUAAAAUACUUUUAGUUCGACCCUAGGCUCGAUUUGGUAAAUUUCAUAGCCAAAUAUUACCUUAGCCCUAGAUUUUGUCAAUAGAUGUCCAAAACUUUUGCUAUCUCUGAACAAUAUCUUCAAACUUGGAGAGUGGGACGACAUAGUGACAAAAAAAUUCUGUGCCUUAUUAGAGAGUCAAGAAAUGGUCUGGAAUCAGCAGCAUCCAGACCAUAAAAAUUCUACAUUAGUGCUAAAUGGUUUAUCAUCCAUUAGCCAAAGCAUGGAAGUUGAAUUUCCUCAGCAUGAUACAACUGUGUCAUGCAUAAAGAAGAAGAUGAAGAACUUCAAGGAUUUUUAUUAAAAAUAUUUAUAUUUUUGUAAUAUUAUUGUAAAUAUAUAUAUUUAUAUAUAAA